rnacentral:lncRNA from 1 species
AGAUAUACUACAACACGGAUUAGCCUUGAAAACAUUUUGCUAAGCCAGUCAGAAAAAGACAAAUAUAUCAUGAUUCCACUUAUACAUGGCAUACUUAGAGCAAUCAAAAUCAUGGAGACAGAAAGCAGAAUGUCAGUUGUCUUGAGGUGGGCAAUGGAAGAAUGAGAAGUUAUUGUUUAAUAGAUACAGAGUUUCAGUUUUGUGAGAGAAAAUGGUACUGAAGAUGAAUGGUGGUGAUAGUUGCAGAGCAAUAUAAAUGUACUUUACACCACUAAACUAUAGACUUCAAAAUGGUUAAGAUCACAAAUUUAAUGUUAUAUGUAUUUUAUCAUAAUAAAAUUAAAAUUAUACAUAGAUUUAUAUGUAAUAUGAAAAUCCAUAUCUAAUUCAAAAAAUUUAUUGACAAGAAAUGAGAUUUAGGUACAAAGUGGUCAAUGAUGAUUUUAAAAUGUGUAUUAUUGCUGGCAAUUAUUUAAAUUUCUAUUUAUUGAUGGAAUAUAUUUUAAUAUUACAGUAAUUCUAUGUAUGACUUGGCACAUUAUUUCCACAUCACAUUAAUUAAACUAAAAAACUAUACAACUAAUUAUGUUAAUAAAUAACUAUAAAAUUUAAAUAAUAAAAACUGAUGAUAGUUUUGCAUCAAUAAUUUUUACGCCUAAUCUAUUUUUGUUAUUAAUGACCUAGACUAGAGCAUAUUUAUUGCAAUAUUUAGCAUAAGAAAUAAAAACUGAAUUGGUAUAAACUGGAAAUAUGGAAUAAACACAAGUUAUUAGUUGGUAAUGUUAAAAGUACGUUUUAUAUUAUAUAAUAUCCCCGAGAAAUUCAAAUAUCUUAACACAAAAUAUGAGUUAGAAUAGAUUGCCUGAUAUAGUCAAAGCAAAUACUCAAAUGCUCUCCAUGUCCAGUUCCUUAUGUCAUUAUUGAGAAUUGGGGCAUUUCAUUUUACUUGUAUUUUACAGAUUCCCCUUGUAUUUGGCACCAGAGGUAAUUUUCUAUCUCUAUAGUUAGAUAACAAACUUCACUUGCCACUUCUUCUAAAUUGCACUUUUCUGCCUGUCAAAAACAGCUGGGCUGAGUAAAAUAAUACUAGUCAAUUAAAAAAUGCAAUCUAGAAAUGUGAACUAUUUGAUUACACUAAAAUAGAAAAUUUAAAGUAAUCAUUUUGCUAAUCUCAUAUCUUAUUUGAAACAGCUUUUGAUGAAAAGGUUAGCAGAAAUAUCAAAUCUGUGGGUUCUGAAUGGUUGGUUUGCUGGGAAAAUAUACACAGUAUUUUCUAAAUGUGUUGUUAAGUAAACUAUGGCUGAUUCCAAUAAAAUUAUUUUGGUUUCAAGAGGAAUUCUACAUAAAUACUCACAAACUGUGAUAAAUUCCUUUCAACUUCAAACCGAAUUUGAGUUAGUUUACUGUUAGUUAUUUAAAAAAUGUAAACAAAAAUUUCUAAAAUUACUAAAUUUCGAUCCAAAAAUAGAAACAUAAGUAUAAAGUCAGUAAUGUCAUUCAUACAAAUUACAGCUAUAAAGAAUUUCAGCUCCCCUAUUAAAAGAUCACUAUUAAACUGGCCUUUUAAAAGAUCUAAAUAUAUGCUGCUUAUAAAAUACACACCAAAAAGAAAGAUGUAUAUUUUUUAAAGAAAAUAGUAAACAGGCAAAACAAUAAUAAAGCAGAGGUAACAAAAUUAAUCUCAAAAUACAAUUUAAGAAAAAAUCCCCAGAGAGCAAAGAUAGUUAUUUAAUAAGGAUAUAAUUUACAAUAUCCAAUUAAUACAUACUAUUCAUAAAACUGUACAGAUCUGUUUUAUGCUGAUCUCAGCUUGUGCAUAGUAAUGACCUCUGUUAGAAAUGCCUGAGAGCUCUCUUAUCAGGGUCAAGGAUGGUGUCUAGAUUCACAAAUUCACUCUUCACUGAUGAUUUUAAAAUAUAAGAGUAGAAAUUUGAGAUGCAGGAAGAGAAAAAACAAAGUGUCCCAAAUGGUCAGUUAUGGAAAUCAACUGAAAUCUCUAAAAUAAAGCAGCCUCAAGUGGGGAAAUGCAGCUUCGCUCUUUAUCUAGUCCUAAGACUGGCAAUGUGUUUAUCCCAGACAGCCUUCUUUGAAGCUGAUGCUUCUUUGAAAUGGAUGGUUUUUGUAGCAGAUUCCUUGGCAAUCAAAGCUUAAGCCAGGCACUUGCAUUACAAAAAGAAAAACCAAUCCUAAGGACUUAACACUACUAGGUCAAAUAAUGUAACCUCAAAAUACAUUAAGCAAAAGUGUAUGGGUCAAGUAACAGAAUUUGCUGCAGGUUUUGUUUGGUAGGAAGCAGAUUGCGAAAAAAAUUUAAUGUUCAAGAUAUUUAUUAAGGAAGGCCCUUAGAGGGAGGAAAAAGAAGUAAAGUUGAAUAAGGAAGUCAAGUUAGAUUCAAGCCUGACAAUUUCAGCUAAUACUGUCUGGGUUUGGGAAGCCGAAAUGGUCUAUGAGAGUUGUUCCCAUUGAGCUAGAUUCUACACUCUCACCCUGACUAUUCACUAGCUGUCGACUAUUACCUCAGAUCACAUGGGCAAAGCGGCUCUGAACAACUGAGGCAAUUCCUAAAAGGGCCACAGCUAAAGGCCUUCUACUGCCAGCACGCCUUCCAGCUGAAGCAACAAUCCCUUCCUUGAAGGGGAAUCAUAGAUAGCAUAUCUGUGUGUCCUCCAUGGUCCACCUCAUUCAGAUAUGCUUUGCAUAGACAAUCAAGGAACAGUUCUCUAAGAUUCCGUUGAGCCUUUCUUCUUCAAGGAAACUUAGUCAAGGAAAGUUAGUGGGGUGAACUGUAAUCCAUAUGAUGACAACUCAUUUCAGUGACAAAAUGAUACUCAUUUUCUCCCUACUCUAUCAUUCCUUCAACUUCCACUAGCAUCUCUGCUGGCUUAGCUGAUGGUGUGACUCAGGUCCUCAUCCAUGAGGAGUCUGAGACUCUGGCUACCAUGCCAUUCUCAGGCCAGUUGUAUAUUUUCUAUCAAAAUUGAAGAACAGUCCAAAUGGACUGUCUGGGUACAAUCAUACCCCUCCAUUAUUUUCCAGCACUCUUCCUCUCCUGAAUAUUAUAAUAAGUUACACAUGUGAGAAUGGUUCUUCCUCUUCUUACGUGCUGGAUGGAUCAUGGGCAAAAAUGACCCAAAGUGUCCAGACAGUAGCCAUACCUCUAUAACUCAGUGGGACUCCUGGUGUGUCCCAGAUAGAAAUGUUUCUCCUUUGUAAACCAGAACCUCUAAUGCUGGGAGGACAGGCAGAUAAAUUCCUCAAGUGAGUUAUUGGGAUCGAUUAUAAUUAGGGCCACUACAGUUUUCAUUACUUUAUAUAUAGACCUACGUAAUCUUCCUAUUUGGGCUACAUGCUACAUAAAUAUCUUUUAUGAGAAGAUAUUCUACAUUCUGGAUAAUGACUGUCAUUUUAAAGUAUCAAAUCAGAGGUGUUACAACAACUAUGACUUCACAUGUUAUUCCAAUGCUCUAUCAAAAUGGCAGCUUUUAGCUGAUGUGGUAUAUGAUAAGACCAGUGGAUCCCACUGUCGUGGGCCUAAUUCACCAUAUUCUUCACUGUAAAAUGGCUCCUCUGGACAUACUCCAGGGUAUGAGGGAUCCUGUGCCAAUAGAACAAACACUUCAUUAGCCUUCAUAUACUGGUGAUGGCUAAGGAAUUACAUACCAAAAAGGCAAACUUAUACUUGGAAUUUGUAUCUAUUCCUAUCAGAAUAAAUGUCUGGUCUUAGAGGAAACCCCAUAUAUCGACGUAUCACCAAGUGGCACGUCAGUGUCCUCAAAGAGUGAUACCAUUUUAAGAUCUCAAUACUGUUUUCUGUUGAUAGCAGGCUGAAUACUUGGAAUGGCAGUAGCUAAACCACUUGGGUAAGUGAGGGCCCAUGCUGUUGGGUCUGAGUAUCAGCUCCAUAUCUGCCACCCUGUGACCAUUUUUUAAAUGUAUUUAUCCUGCUUUUAGUACUUCAAAUUCUUUCCUGGAAGAAACUUUUAAAAAAUGUUGUCAUUCCAAUACCUGCAUAUAAAUACCUGUGGUUACAUUUAUCUGUGCUAGCAAAGAUAGUACUGCAUCCAAAAAUGGUAACUGCAAUGGAGCCUACCAUGUUGUAGAGUUUGCAGUAGUAUGUAAUCUCUCAAGAUCUCUCUAGUUAGGAGUCGGACUACUAAAUUAAAUGAAGACAUAACAGGAUUUAUCACUGCUGCAUUAUCAUUUCUUUAAAAACAGUCUUAAUUUAUAUAAUACACCCUACAGUGAGAUGUAAUUUUGUUUAUGAAUUACACUCUUAGCUAAAGGUAGAAAAGCUGAUUUCCUAUUUUCCUAUAUGGCCUAGCUUACAAUGGGCCAAGGAAAGAAUAUGAGAAUUAUACCAGUCCUUCCCAAACUUUCCAAAAUAACUGAAGACAAGGAAAAAAUCCUUUUUUUUUUUUUUUUUUUUUUUUGUCUUUUUGCCUUUUCUAGGGCCGCACCAGUGGCAUAUGGAGGUUGUUCCAAGGCUAGGGGUCCAAUCGGAGCGGUAGCUGCUGGCCUACACCACAGCCACAGCAAUGGUGGAUCCAAGCCUUGAUUGCAACCUACACCACGGUUCACGGCAACGCCGGAUCCUUAACCCACUGAGCGAGUUCAGGAACCUCAUGGUUCCUAGUCAGAUUCAUUAAACACUGAGUCACAACAGGAACUCCUUUUUUUUUUUUUUUUUUUGUCUUUUUGCUAUUUCUUGGGCCGCUCCCGCGGCAUAUGGAGGUUCCCAGGCUAGGGGUCGAAUUGGAGCUGUAGCCACCGGCCUACGCCAGAGCCACAGCAACGCAGGAUCCGAGCCGCGUCUGCAACCUACACCACAGCUGACGGCAAUGCCGGAUCAUUAACCCACUGAGCAAGGGCAGGGACCGAACCUGCAACCUCAUGGUUCCUAGUCGGAUUCGUUAACCACUGCGCCACGACGGGAACUCCCAGCAACUCCUUUUUUUAAAAAUUCAUUUUAUGAGGCCAGUGUUGUACUGAUACCCUUUAGACAAAGACACUACAAGAAAAGAAAACUACAGACAAUAUACCUUAUGAAUACUGAUUCAAAAAUUCUUAACAAAAUCCUAGCAUGCCAAAAUCAGUGGCGUAUUAAAAGAUUAUACACCACGACUAAGUGGAAUUUAUUACUGGAAUAUUAAGAUGGUUCAACAUAUGAA